CCGCGGUGCAUUGCUGUUGCAUUGCAUGUGUGAGGCAGGUGCAGUGCCUCGGCAGUGCAGCCCGG
rnacentral:pre_miRNA from 10 species